rnacentral:rRNA from 1 species
UACAGAGGGGGCAAGCGUUGUUCGGAAUUACUGGGCGUAAAGGGCGCGUAGGCGGCCUGUUAAGUCGAACGUGAAAUCCCCGGGCUCAACCCGGGAACUGCGUCCGAUACUGGCAGGCUUGAAUCCGGGAGAGGGAUGCGGAAUUCCAGGUGUAGCGGUGAAAUGCGUAGAUAUCUGGAGGAACACCGGUGGCGAAGGCGGCAUCCUGGACCGGUAUUGACGCUGAGGCGCGAAAGUGUGGGGAGCGAACAGG